CCCGAACUGGUGGAAUUGGUAGACACGCUGGUCUCAAGUACCAGUGCUGCAAAGCGUUCCGGUUCGAGUCCGGAGUUCGGGACCA
rnacentral:tRNA from 1 species